rnacentral:misc_RNA from 1 species
AGGUGAACCUGCGGAAGGAUCAUUACCGAUUUUUAGCGUGCCUGGUCAUUGACCAUGGUCUCGCGAAAUUUUGUAUUUAAAACCCACACUUUGUAAUAAUUAUUAAAUCAUAUAUCAUGAUAAAAAAUAAAGAUCACUUUCAACAACGGAUCUCCUGGCUCUCG